AUGCAGAUUACCGAUUGUUAAGAAAACUUGAUAUCGGCCCUAAUUAAUCGGCCAUGCCGAUUAAUCAGUCGACCUCUAGUUUGUACGGGGGAUAAUUUGAUGUAGGCCUCAUAAAACAUUGUGUACUUCCUACAGGAGAGGCUGUGUGAGCGGACUGACUCUGAAGCUGAUCAAGGCAUCAGUGACGGAGAUGCUGGAUACUGUCUGAUGACGACUAUGUCAACGUGGCCAGGUCUUUCUUCAAACCCUCUUCUGCUCCGUCCUUCUCUCUCCUGCCCUGUUUCAGUUUAAUGAGAAGGCAGAGGCAGUGGUCCCUUGCUUCAAACAUCUGGUCCAGGCCAACGUUCGCAACAAGAAGAUCUUCAAAGAGACUGUGCAGAUCAUGCAAUAUAAAGGCACCACAGACUACAAGUCUGGUUUCCACUUUGCCAACAAUCAGCUACUAAACGUAAAUGACUCAAAGCUCAACACUCUGAAUGACCGCACUAUGGACUAGUGAUGCCCAAUUCUUUGUUACUACUAUAAAUUACAUUUAAUUAUAGAUAACAGACCAGUAUAACAUAUAACAGUGGCUCUCUAGGAGUAGACAGUGUUAUAUAUGGAACGGGUGAUCCUGUUUGGCUUAGUUGGUAAGAGCAUGGCGCCUGAGUCACAUGUUUGAUUCCCCCUGGGGCCACCCAUACGAAAAUUAAAAAAAAUGCACUCACUGAUGUAAGUGGCUUUGGAUAGUCUUCCCCUCUUGCCUGCUUUAUAUAUCACAUAUUAACUUUCUGUAUUAAUGAUUCACUGGCUGUGUUAUGUAUUCAUGUCACACUCUCUUUAUCUUUCACUUUCUGUCUUUCUCAGAAGACAAAUGUCCUCCAAGCUCACUGCAAUAAAAUAAUCAUGCUGUUCACGGAUGGAGGAGAGGAUUGAGCUCAGGACAUCUCUAAGCAGUACAACUGGCCAAAACACAAGCAGACCUCUCUCUCUCUAUCUCUAUCUGUGCCAUAAGGAUUAACACCCAGGUGUGUUUGUCUAGUGACUCUCACACAGCUCAUCAUGGGUCUGUCAGUUUUCCUCCUAGCAAUGCUUCCUACUUCCCGGAAAUGUUGUUGUUAAUUAGUGGAGACUGACUCUAAUGCAGCGCAUAUAUAUUCGAAUUACCUUGAGGUUGUUACUGUGAAGUGUUUUCACUUUACAGCUUCAUGGCAGACAAAGUUAUCAAGAUAGGCCAACUUUACUGAGCAUGUUUCAGUCAGCAACAGUACAUAGUCAAGUGAACUAGAUUUCUGUUUCCUGUGUAACAAACGGCAUCCUAUUCUCUACAUAAUGCUCUACUUUUAACCAGAGCCCUAUGUGUCCUGGUCAAAAGUAGUGCACUGCAAAGGGACUACAGUAUGAGUAACAUCAGUAUUGCUCCACAGCUGAUGCCUGACUGUUUGCUAUUCCUGUGUAUUGUUACCAGGAGUACAUGGACGUGCUGGGUUGCCCCAUGGUCCUGGCAAGCAGCCGUGCCAAGCAGGUUCAGUGGACCAACGUCUAUCAGGAUGCCUUGGUGAGAGAUCACCUGGCUCAGGACACUAGCCUUAUACACUUUCUUAUAUAUUGGCCUUAUGCACUUUCUUACAGGCUACAUUGGUCUUAUGCACUUUCUUACAGGCUACAUUGGCCUUAUGCACUUUCUACUGACAGAGACAUACAUUUGAGUUCUCUGGAGAUUUUGGGGCGGUUUCAGAGCUUAGUCCUGAUUACAGGACACGGAUUAAGCGGACAAAGAGUAAGCCUAGUCCUGGACUAUGAUGUGUUCUGUUGGUAGUGUCCGGGAGGACUAGGGAAAUUAGGGAAGAUUAGUGAAAAUACUUAACAUUUUGUUAUUCUUAGGGUCUGGGACUGGUUUUUACUGGAACAAUUCCUGUUUUAAAUCUCACUGUGGAUGGAAACUCACAGGUACAGCCAUUUAAAUUGGCCCAUGUUGACCGAUGCACAGCUUUGUUUACUAAAACACCCUUUCUUGAUGUUGUGUUUGCGGGUUUUUUUCGCCAAAGAAUCAGCUGAUAUUAAGUGUCAUGGGGGUGGACGUACAUCUGGAGGAAAUCAAGAAGCUGACGCCAACAUACAAUGUUAGUAUACUGCAGUAUAUCGCACUUCA